rnacentral:rRNA from 1 species
UACGUAGGGCGCAAGCGUUGUCCGGAAUUAUUGGGCGUAAAGAGCUCGUAGGCGGCCAGUUGCGUCCGCUGUGAAAUCCCGGGGCUUAACCCCGGGCGUGCAGUGGAUACGGGCUGGCUAGAGGCAGGCAGGGGAGAACGGAAUUCCUGGUGUAGCGGUGAAAUGCGCAGAUAUCAGGAGGAACACCGGUGGCGAAGGCGGUUCUCUGGGCCUGUACUGACGCUGGAGGAGCGAAAAGCGUGGGGGAGCGAACAGG